UGGUGGAGUGAUUUGUCUGGUUAAUUCCGUUAACGAACGAGACCUCGACCUACUAAAUAGUGGGGCUUAGGCUUGCCUAGGUGCUUACUUCUUAGAGGGACUAUCGGUUCUUUAGCCGAAGGAAGUUCGAGGCAAUAACA
rnacentral:rRNA from 1 species